rnacentral:rRNA from 1 species
GAUGAACGCUGGCGGCGUGCUUAACACAUGCAAGUCGAACGGAAAGGCUCAAGCUUGCUUGGGUACUCGAGUGGCGAACGGGUGAGUAACACGUGGGUGAUCUGCCCUGCACUUCGGGAUAAGCCUGGGAAACUGGGUCUAAUACCGGAUAGGACGAUGGUUUGGAUGCCAUUGUGGAAAGUUUUUUCGGUGUGGGAUGAGCUCGCGGCCUAUCAGCUUGUUGGUGGGGUAAUGGCCUACCAAGGCGUCGACGGGUAGCCGGCCUGAGAGGGUGUACGGCCACAUUGGGACUGAGAUACGGCCCAGACUCCUACGGGAGGCAGCAGUGGGGAAUAUUGCACAAUGGGCGCAAGCCUGAUGCAGCGACGCCGCGUGGGGGAUGACGGCCUUCGGGUUGUAAACUCCUUUCGCUAGGGACGAAGCGUUUUUGUGACGGUACCUGGAGAAGAAGCACCGGCUAACUACGUG